UCUCCUUCGCAGAGUCACGGAGGAAACCAAGGCACGCAGCGGCUCCCGCUCGGCAGAAGCAGAGGCGACAUCAGAGCCCGCUCCCGUCAGACUGUCCCUGAUGCCACCCUGCAGCCCGCUUUGUCUUCCCAUCUGACUCUGGAACCGCUGGAGGUUGAUUGAAAGACCAGGGAGCAUCCAAGUUGAAUCGCUUGGUUCAGCAAACCACAGCGCCCACCAGCACGAGCCUCCGCGUCAGGAGUAAAACCUGCAGCUGUCAUGUCGGACCUUCGCAGAUGGAACCGGUUGGGCUCAAGUCUGUCACAGGCGACCUUCUGGACGCACACGCCUGUCUCCACGCCAGCACCUUCCAUGACAGCCCAGUCCUUCCCAAGACACUGCUCCACAGACACCUCCUCCUUGAAGCCCUCCUGUCUCUUCCCCGAAUCAGAGCAUGUCUUCCGCUCACAGUGAGUCACCUUGGUCCUCCAGCCAGAGAGUUUACUGAACCGUGAAGCAGUUUCCUGCUGAAGAGUCUUUCUCCGCACGAGAGUGGGGGCCAGUCGGGUGCACUGGGCCCUCUCUCCUUCCCGACGCUCAGCCCAGGGCCUGGCAGGCAGGCGGGCAGUAGACUUCAUGCUAAAUUACGGCACAGUGUGUGCAAGGGGCUGGCAGGGGCUGGAAGCAACUGAGUUGUAGGGAGGAGAGGCGAGCCCACAUCAGCGUCUCCGCUGAAUUUCAUCCUCUGAGUGCCGGGUCUACAUCCAGGAGUUACUCCAACAGACGGGCCAGCUGCGCUGUGGACACCGU